rnacentral:rRNA from 1 species
ACAUAAGUAACGAUAAAGCGGGUGAAAAGCCCGCUCGCCGGAAGACCAAGGGUUCCUGUCCAACGUUAAUCGGGGCAGGGUGAGUCGACCCCUAAGGCGAGGCCGAAAGGCGUAGUCGAUGGGAAACAGGUUAAUAUUCCUGUACUUGGUGUUACUGCGAAGGGGGGACGGAGAAGGCUAUGUUGGCCGGGCGACGGUUGUCCCGGUUUAAGCGUGUAGGCUGGUUUUCCAGGCAAAUCCGGAAAAUCAAGGCUGAGGCGUGAUGACGAGGCACUACGGUGCUGAAGCGACAAAUGCCCUGCUUCCAGGAAAAGCCUCUAAGCAUCAGGUAACAUCAAAUCGUACCCCAAACCGACACAGGUGGUCAGGUAGAGAAUACCAAGGCGCUUGAGAGAACUCGGGUGAAGGAACUAGGCAAAAUGGUGCCGUAACUUCGGGAGAAGGCACGCUGAUACGUAGGUGAAGUCCCUCGCGGAUGGAGCUGAAAUCAGUCGAAGAUACCAGCUGGCUGCAACUGUUUAAUUAAAAACACAGCACUGUGCAAACACGAAAGUGGACGUAUACGGUGUGACGCCUGCCCGGUGCCGGAAGGUUAAUUGAUGGGGUUAGCGGCAACGCGAAGCUCUUGAAUCGAAGCCCCGGUAAACGGCGGCCG